rnacentral:tRNA from 1 species
GGGCGGUUAGCUCAGUGGUAGAGCACUUCGUUCACACCGAAGGGGUCGUGGGUUCAAGUCCCGCACCGCCCACCA